CCAUUUAGAGACGGAGGGCAUGGCUUUGGCAAUCUCUUUUCCUUUAGAAGUUGAAGACAUUCAAAAAGGCCAUCAGGGACAUGAACGCCAGACCACCGGAAGGGGAUGAUGGGAAGUCUGCUGUUGUAAGUGAUCGGGCAGUUGCUGUUUUCCCAUUGGCUGGACAGAAGAGCAGAGAAGAUUCAGCAUUCACUUCCUGUACUGAGGCUUCAGAAGAUACUAGUCGUGGAGAAACAAGGAGACACGCUGAAAUCGAAGGCACUGAAGCAAGCAGCACUCAUCUCUGAUAAUAUUGGACACACAACCCUAUCAGAACAGAGGACUUCAUCACCGAUCAGAGGUCACUCUGUGUGUGUGUGUGUGUGUGUAUACAUUUGCAUGUUUAACAUUACAGAUUAAAAUAUAAUUAAACAACCCACCCAUGCACUGGCCUACCUGAUUAUUUCAAUCUCUGCUGUCUCACUGCACGUCGAAGCCACUACCAGAGACUGUUGUCUUCAUUCAAGCUCGAAUGCUCCAGUCUUGAGCUGAGCCAGAAGCUCCGUGUGACCUCCGGGAGGUCUCUCUCUUACCUGGAGAGGCCUGGGAGCUUGAGGGUCCUGUUAGCUGUUUUGAGGACUGCGCUCUUCUGCACGGAGAUCUCUGGUGUUGUUCCUGGGAUCUGCUGGAGUCCUUCUCCCAGUCUGGGGGUCACGGCCCCUAGUGCUCUGACUGCCACGGGAACCACAUCUUUUCCAAUUCUUCUCUCUUCUGCUGUUUAUCCCCCACUACUAUGUCUGGUUGGUUAGCUAUUACCUUCUUGUCUGUCUGUA